CUCUUGGAAACAUUUGUUUAUAGAAAGAUUUCAUUCUAAACCUUGUCUCAAGAACAGUUAAGGCUAGUGGAGCUCUUUUACAGACUAGCCUGUUCUCCCCAAGCUACAGUAAACAUCUGAUUCAGCCCCAGGGUCUAUUGUAUCACAACCCCUUUAACACUGAGCUGAUAGUAUUGUCAAUUGCAGUGUAUUUUUGGAAGAGAUCCUACUUUGGGAGUUCUUAAAUUAGUCCUAGCAAGUCUGCUUUUAAAUUGACUUUUUUUUUUUUUUUAAAUAGUACAUGUUGACAGCAGAGAAACUAGAAGAUUAAGUCAGAUUUCAGAUUAGUGAACUUGGGGGGGGGGGGUAUUGUGCCUGCUUUUCCCACUCAAGAUUCUAUAAAUACAGAAUCUCUCUCCAUGGUUCCUCACACAACAGAUGGGUUGUUUUUGCAAACUCCAUGGUGGUUAUGUUGCUUUUUUGUUACUUUGGUCACUUUCUCACUCAAUAGGUAGAUUUCCAAUGGUAGCCUUGGCUACUCAGGGCUAUGCCAAUUAAAUUUGCAGAUUUUCUUUAAAUACUUAAUAUGUGUUUUUCUGCUUGAACUGCCCUAAAAUUGUGUUUUUUAAGCAAUCGAGUUAUCCCAGCCCUGCCAGCCCUGCUCCCCUAAUUUAAUUACAUUUCCUAUCCCAAGAACACCUAGUUCUUACGAUUAUUUCUUCUGAAAGCAACUUCCCUUUCCCUCUCUUCGUUUUCACUGCUUCAUCAUUACCCCAAAUUAGUGUCCCUUUUCCCUAGAGGAAUAUUUCAUGGACUCUGACUGAGCAAGCAUGGAACCAUCCGAUUGCCUGUCUGUCUUCCCCAGCGAUGUCUUGUAGCACAUGAAAUAAACAAGAGAGAACUUUAAGCGUCAGAAGAAGCGUCAACACCCCCAGAUAGGGUCAGAUGUGAAGUAUGGCUGACACGAAAGAAUAAAAAUCUGGGAUUUCUGGGUUCUAGCUUUUCAAUCUCCCUAAACUCCAGACUUGAUCUUCUUGAGAAAAUCGUUAUGACUUAUCCCUUCUGGGCCUCACUUUCAACAUCUUUAAAAAAUAAAAGAUAUUCAUACCUUUCAGCUUGUAGUCUGUGGUGGAUGGAGGAAAAGAAGAAGACAGUCGAUCGAACUAUGCUUUGAGUACUUGUUGAAUGACCCUAUAGUUAUGACAUUUGUAGGACUUGAAAUGGUAAGGUUAUCACCGAAAACAGAAUUCAGGCUAACUGGAUACUGAAUAUGGCAGCAUUUGCCAACCCCACUACCUGCCAAGGCCCUAAAAUUCACCAAAGACAACCAGUAACAUUCUGGUUAGAAGUAUCUUUACACUAAGACUAUUUUUCUGGGCAAAGAAGUUCCAUCCCCAACAAUAAGACUUAUAAUCAGAGGCUAUUCAAGGUCCAGAGAAAAACCCACGAAAAGGUCCUUGAAUAAGGUAUUUGUAGCCUCUGAACUAUGAGGGAAGCUCAUGGAAAAAUCUUUCAGCCCUAGCUGUAAUCUUCACCCAACUCCCUGUUUUCCCAGAGAGGACGUGACAAGACAUGACUUAUUGCAGUUACGUGCCUGGGGCGUAGUACCUGCCUAACACAUUUCAUGACCUAUCCCAAACACACCUCAAAAAUAACUGCAUAUUCUUUUCUUCAUUGGAAUCUACACCCAGCCUACUUCUUUCCUCCUCCACUAAGGUUUUUUUUUUAACUUAAAACAAUUUUAUUGGUCUUUGAAACAGGUACUUUCUCUUAGCUGUGAAAAUUGAUACAGAAUAUGUACCAGAGAAAAAGAACAGAACCGAUCACCUCUCUCCUAAUUGCCCUUUGCAAAAGAUGCAACUUGAUUGACAAAAGUUCAUGAAAUCCACCUUGUGGGAAUUGUCGGUCGUGGACCAGCGACACUGGCACCCUCAGAGACCAUUAUUACUAUCCACGACUUCCAUAGAUUUUAGAGUCCCCCCCACCCCCUGCAUUAUCUCUUUUGAUCCUGUUGACAUAGACAAAGAAUUCAGCUAAGGAUCCAGAGAUGCUGGGGAAGGAAAAGUCAGGCUGGGAUUCUCCCUGCUUCUCAGAAAAUGCAGCUGUGAUGCAUGUAACCGAUUAUGUCUAGAAAUCAGACUCCAAUGACAGAGCCCGGAAGUGGAAGGAGAACAGGGGCUCUCCUAUGAUGGAAAAGAAUCCGAUGACAAGGUCUCAUGGAGCAAAGAGAAUUCUGACCGAGUCCUCCAGAGGAGAGCCUAGAUCUCAGUCACCUUUCCAGUCCGGGACGCGGUGGCGCAGGCCCUCUGCCAGGUGCUGCUCAGCAUGUCAGCCCACGUCCACACUGCCACGAGGGAACCUUCUGGAACACACACUUGACUGCGACACUCAUCUGUUUCAGAGUGUCCAACAAUUGAUUUCCCUGCUGCUUCCAAGCCUAAUCCAGCCUCACGAACUACAGGCCCUCGAACACGUCCAACACCACCAGGACUCCAGUCUUUCGUCAAUACUGCUCUCUCAGCCUGGACCGUCCCCUCCACUCCACACAGUUCCCUGAAAGCGAACAGUGUGGCUGUCAUCUUCGCACAACCCGUGUGUCCCAGCCUUGUGCCUGGCACAUAAUAGGGACUUAGUAACUUUUGACUAAGAGCUCCCAGGUUUUU